rnacentral:rRNA from 1 species
UACGUAGGGGCCUAGCGUUGUCCGGAAUUAUUGGGCGUAAAGAGCUCGUAGGCGGUUCGGCAAGUCGGAUGUGAAAUCUCCACGCUUAACGUGGAGGGGCCAUUCGAAACUGCUGUGACUCGAGUCCGGUAGGGGAGUGUGGAAUUCCCGGUGUAGCGGUGAAAUGCGCAGAUAUCGGGAGGAACACCGGUGGCGAAGGCG